rnacentral:rRNA from 1 species
GACGAACGCUGGCGGCGUGCUUAACACAUGCAAGUCGAACGAAGAGCGAUGGAAGCUUGCUUCUAUCAAUCUUAGUGGCGAACGGGUGAGUAACGCGUAAUCAACCUGCCCUUCAGAGGGGGACAACAGUUGGAAACGACUGCUAAUACCGCAUACGAUCUAAUCUCGGCAUCGAGGAUAGAUGAAAGGUGGCCUCUACAUGUAAGCUAUCACUGAAGGAGGGGAUUGCGUCUGAUUAGCUAGUUGGAGGGGUAACGGCCCACCAAGGCGAUGAUCAGUAGCCGGUCUGAGAGGAUGAACGGCCACAUUGGGACUGAGACACGGCCCAGACUCCUACGGGAGGCAGCAGUGGGGAAUCUUCCGCAAUGGACGAAAGUCUGACGGAGCAACGCCGCGUGAGUGAUGACGGCCCUCGGGUUGUAAAGCUCUGUUAAUCGGGACGAAAGGCCUUCUUGCGAAUAGUGAGAAGGAUUGACGGUACCGGAAUAGAAAGCCACGGCUAACUACGUG